UACGUAGGGUGCAAGCGUUAAUCGGAAUUACUGGGCGUAAAGCGUGCGCAGGCGGUUUUGUAAGUCAGAUGUGAAAUCCCCGGGCUUAACCUAGGAACUGCGUUUGAAACUACAAGGCUAGAGUGUGACAGAGGGGGGUGGAAUUCCACGUGUAGCAGUGAAAUGCGUAGAGAUGUGGAGGAACACCGAUGGCGAAGGCAGCCCCCUGGGUUAACACUGACGCUCAGGCACGAAAGCGUGGGGAGCAAACAGG
rnacentral:rRNA from 1 species